rnacentral:rRNA from 1 species
AGAGUUUGAUCCUGGCUCAGGAUGAACGCUAGCGGCAGGCUUAACACAUGCAAGUCGAGGGGUAUAGUUCUUCGGAACUAGAGACCGGCGCACGGGUGCGUAACGCGUAUGCAAUCUACCUUUUGCAGAGGGAUAGCCCAGAGAAAUUUGGAUUAAUACCUCAUAGUAUGUGAGAAUGGCAUCAUUUUCACAUUAAAGUCACAACGGCAAAAGAUGAGCAUGCGUCCCAUUAGCUAGUUGGUAAGGUAACGGCUUACCAAGGCAACGAUGGGUAGGGGUCCUGAGAGGGAGAUCCCCCACACUGGUACUGAGACACGGACCAGACUCCUACGGGAGGCAGCAGUGAGGAAUAUUGGACAAUGGGCGCAAGCCUGAUCCAGCCAUGCCGCGUGCAGGAUGACGGUCCUAUGGAUUGUAAACUGCUUUUGUACAGGAAGAAACACUGGUUCGUGAACCAGCUUGACGGUACUGUAAGAAUAAGGAUCGGCUAACUCCGUGCCAGCAGCCGCGGUAAUACGGAGGAUCCAAGCGUUAUCCGGAAUCAUUGGGUUUAAAGGGUCCGUAGGCGGUCAGAUAAGUCAGUGGUGAAAGCCCAUCGCUCAACGGUGGAACGGCCAUUGAUACUGUCUGACUUGAAUUAUUAGGAAGUAACUAGAAUAUGUAGUGUAGCGGUGAAAUGCUUAGAGAUUACAUGGAAUACCAAUUGCGAAGGCAGGUUACUACUAAUGGAUUGACGCUGAUGGACGAAAGCGUGGGUAGCGAACAGGAUUAGAUACCCUGGUAGUCCACGCCGUAAACGAUGGAUACUAGCUGUUGGGGGCAACUUCAGUGGCUAAGCGAAAGUGAUAAGUAUCCCACCUGGGGAGUACGUUCGCAAGAAUGAAACUCAAAGGAAUUGACGGGGGCCCGCACAAGCGGUGGAGCAUGUGGUUUAAUUCGAUGAUACGCGAGGAACCUUACCAAGGCUUAAAUGUAGAUUGACCGGUUUGGAAACAGACUUUUCGCAAGACAAUUUACAAGGUGCUGCAUGGUUGUCGUCAGCUCGUGCCGUGAGGUGUCAG